UCUCGUCUGUCGCCAUGUGAGAUGUACCUUUCACUUUCCUCCAUGAUUUUGAGGCCUCCUUAGCCACAUGGAACUGAAAUGCUGGAGUCCUUCAUCAGAAUGGUAAAUGGCACUUGUGACAAAAGUCAAAGUAACUAAAAAAGAAUCUGGUUGAAACCUCAGUAACAAUUGGCCUGUGUACUGCCUCACACUAACAAGGGGGAGCUAAUAAAACUGAGGGCAGAACACACAAUGUGGAAAUGAGAACCUUAUUCUUGUCAAUGGAUGGAGGGUGGUGACCCCCACCUUUACAACUGUCUGUAAUUCUCACUAGCAGUAUAUUAGAGGGCAAAAGAUUUGAACAGACACAUCAGAAAAGAAGACAUACAAAUGGCCGCUAAGCACUUGAAAGGAUUCUGAACACCAUUAGUCAUCAGUGAAAUGCAAAUUAAAGCCAUAAUGAAUGGCGCUAUACAUUUUCAGAAUGGCAAGGAUUGAAGACUGAAAAAAAUCAAGCGUUGAGGAGAGUGACAAAUGGGGAGACAGCCAUGGUGCAUGAUCGCCGAAGAAAUACCAUGUGAGGAUACAGCAAGAAGGUGGCCAUCUACAAGCCAAGGAGACAGGCCUCAGAAGAAACCAACCCUUCUUACACCCUGGACUCAGACUUCUAAUCUCCAGAACUUGUUAAUGCACAAGGUCUUGUGUUGAAAAUGUAGAGCCACGAGAUAAAAGCAGCUUGGAUGGCUGACUCAUAUACAAGGACAACUGCCUGAGAGUCACCAGGACUAUCAAGAAGUUUGCAGAAACAAGAAAUAAACUUUUACUGUUUUAAACUUUUGUGAAUUUUGGGUUUUGUUUAUCACCAAAUAAACCUAGUCUAUUCUGAUUGUUAUAAGUGGUUAAUUUGGGAAGUCAGAUAUAUUUAAAAUUGGCUUACUGCUGUAACAUAUACAGUCCAAAUUACAUAAUGGCUCAAAUGCAAUAGAAGUCUUUUUUUUUUUUUUUUUGCUCACGUAUCACUUCAUUGAGAUUCUGCAUUAAUUGUAAUGAGGAGGGUGGGGGUGUCUUAUAUCAUACAGUUGUUCAGCAACCCAGGAUGACCAACUUCGUAAUAUUUUUUCCCACUGGCUUCUAAAGUUCUCAUAGAUAGUAAAAUUCAUUUGGAAGAAGGAGAAAGAGCAUGGAGGAUUGCAGAUGGAGAUUUUUAUGGGAAGGCUUGGAAGUUUCGAGGUUGCACAUUACUACUUUUACUUGUUGGCUAGGAAACUAUCACGUGGUCACACCUAAGUGCCAGUGAGUCUGACAAUGUGGCAAUUUGGUUGCGUGCCAGGGGUAAGAGGCAAUAAAUUUUGCUCAGUAAUUAUCAGUUUUUGCCACAGAUGGAGGGACUUUUCAUUGUAUAACUAGUUGCUACUGUUUCAAUUUAAAAGAGGAAAAUAUCAUUUUCAAAUAAAAACACAAAAGUGGCACAAAAAAUUCUUAUGAUUUUUUUUGCUUGAAUUUUGUGCAUUUAUUUGGCUAUUAUUAAAGUAAAUAAUUCUCUUUAUAGAAAAUGUAGAAAGUAACAAAAAAUAAAUAAGCAGAAAGUCAUCCAAUAACCCCCAUGAUCCCAGCAUAAUAACCUUUUUUAAGGUAACUGAAAUGACCAUCCUUCUUUUACAACUGCAGACACUAACACCCAGGGAUUUUAAGAAAUUUGUCAGCUCUAGUAAGUGGUAGAGCACAGAGAAAAGAAAAGCCAGGGAAGCUUUUACAGAGCAGGAGACAAGGAUAGAAAAGGACUUAUGAAUGGGGAAACACAAUUGACAAAUUAUUUUAAAAUUUUGCAGGUUUAAUCGCAUGGAGAGAGAGAGCAUAGAACACAAGAAAUAUACCAAAGCAACAGAGAGACAGAUUCUUGCUUUGUCACCCAAGUUGGAGUGCAGUGGUGCGAUCAUAACUCCAGAACCUCAAAUUGCCCAGCUCAGAAGAUCCUCCUGCCUCAGCCUCCUGAAUACCUAGUAUUACAGGUGUGUGCCACCAUGCCCAGCUAAUUUCUUUUAUUUUUUGUAGAGAUGGGGUCUUCUUAUGUUGUGCAGGCUGGCGAUGCCCCUGCCUUGACCUCUCAAAGCACUAGAAUUACAGAUGUGAGUCAUUGCACCUCUUCCAGUGGCACGUUUUGGAAAGUACUUUUUCCCCUAUUGAAUUGCCUUGGCAUUUUUGUCAAAAAUCUUUUCAUCAUAUAUGUUUGGGUCUAUUUCUGGAUACUCUAUUCUGCUCUAGCAAUAUACAUAUCUAUGCUUAUGCCCAUACAAUAUUGUUGUGAUUACUACAGUGUUAUUGUAAUUUCUGAAGUCUGGUAGUGUAUUUUUUCUAUGUUUUCUUUUGUGUAACAUUGAUUUUACUAUUCUACAUCAUUUUUAUUUCCACGUACAUUUUAAAAUCAACUUGUCACUUUCUCUAAGAGAACUUUCUAGACAUUUUGUUGAGAUUGCAUGGAAUUCAUAGGUCACUUUGAAGAGAAUUUACAUUUUAAUAAUAUUGAUUGUUCCAAUGCAUGAAUGAGUAAUAUUCCUCCAUUUAUUUAGGUUUUUGUUAAUUUCUUUUAUUCUCUAUUUUAUAGUGUAAAAGUCCUGUGAAUAUUUUGUUAAGUUUUUAUGUAAGCAUUUCAUAAUUUUUUUGGGGGGGUAAAUGUAUAUUAAAUUCUUAAAAUUUUAUUUUCUAUGUCUUUGCUGAAAGUAUAUAAUAUGCAAUUAAAUUUGUUUUAAUCUUCUAUAUUUAAAAGUUAUAAGAAAAUUGUUAUGCUUAUACUUAACCAGUCACUAUCUUUUAUCUUUAUUCAUUUAAACUUUAUUCAUUCCUAAGAUAUGAAUUUUCAUGUAUCAAUUCCCUCUUCAAGCCUGAAUAAUUUUAUUUGUAUUUCCCAUAGCUUUACUUUGUCUGAAAAUGUCUUUAUUUUAACUUUGUUCUAUUUUCACUAAAUAUAAAAUUCCGGGUUAACCAUUAUUUUCUUUUUCUUUCAGCAUUUUAAAUAUGUUGCUUUACUGUCAUCUGUCCUUAAUGGUUUCUGAUGUCAUAGCCACCGUCAUUUGAACCAUUGUUCCACCAUAUGUAAAGUAUUAAUUUCUGGGUGUUUUUAAGAUUUUCUUGUUCCUUUUGUCUUUCAGCCGUUUUACUAUGAGGUAUCUAUACCUGUGUAGAUGCUUCUUUCAAAUGUGUCCUAUUUGGAGUUUGCUGACCUUUAGUAAUCUAUAAAUAUAGGCCUUUCACCAGAUUUGGAAAGUUUUGGUCAUCAUUUCUUCAAAUAUUUUUUGUCUCAAAUUUUUCCUUUGUUUCUAGGACUCCAAUUACCUAAUUAAGGUGUUAGACCUUUUGAAAUGUUCCACUGUUCUGUGGGGCUCAGUUUGUACUUUUCCUUUUUUUUUUUUUUUUUUUUUUGAGAUGGAGUCUCCUCUGUCACCAGGCUGGAGUGCAGUGGCACAGUCUUGGCUCACUGCAACCUCCGCCUCCUGGGUUCAAGCGAUUCUCCUGCCUCAGCCUCCCAAAUAGCUGGGAUUACAAGCACAUGCCACCAUGCCCAGCUAAUUUUUGUAUUUUUAGUAGAGAUGGGUUUUCACCAUGUUGGCCAGGCCGGUCUUGAACUCCUGACCUCGUGAUCCGCCUGCCUCGGCCUCCCAAACUGCUGGGAUUACAGGCAUGAGCCACCGCGCCUGGCCCAGUUUGUAUUUUUUCAUAAACUUUUUGUCUCUUUUUCAAAUUGUAUGAUUUCUAUUGAUUUAUAUUUGGUUUUACUUAGAUUCUUUUGACACCUUUAUUUUAAAAAUUUGGCCUACACAGGAAAUUUGUAUUUCAGGCUUUGUGUUUUUAUCAAUUUUAAAAUUACUUUUAUGCCUUUUUAUGUUUUCUACAAUUAUGCUGGUAUUUUCUAAUUUUUUUAUUCCUUCCACGUGUAUCUUUCUUUACCUGAUUGAGCAUAGUUAUAACUCUGUUUAAAGUUAGUGUCUGAUAAUUUCAACAUUUGGUCAUUUUUCCCCUUAAAAAUGGGUCAUUGUUUCCUGAAUCUUUGUAUAUGAAGUGGUUUUCGGAUUGAACUGUGGACAUAAUGAAUGUAAUUAUGAAUAAAAAUCUAGGCUCUGGCUUUUUUCA